GAACUGACUGAAGUAGGCCGAUCGGCUCCCCUGGUGUUUAGUCAAAUGCCUCUACAGCGCCGCCUCUCUUGACAGCUAUCUUUCCUCUGUCACUGCUUUACAGAGCCACUUUUCCUUCUUCCACACCUCCUUGGCAUACAAGCAGAGCCAUAGGAGGUGAUCAGUAGUCUUUGUGGCUCCUUGGCAGGUAUUCCUCAGGCAGCUUCAUCUCCCCAGUUGUCCUUCUCUAUGUCUUCGGGCCCCACUGGGAGGGCUCAGUGGGCUAUCACCCAGUUCAGGUCUCUGUGGUCUUUACACAGGUCCUUGUGGAAGAUGUGUUCCCACACAGCUUGGCAAGCAUUACCCAGAAGCAGGUCCAUGGGUGACAUGAUGUCUCUCUUUCUCGCUGCCUCCUGUAUUUUCUUGUGGUUGGCCAUGGUUGUGGGGCCUGCACUCUGUAGACCAUACAUGCUGUGCAACUCGUUCAGGGUCUCAUAGAACCACGGUUGGCCCAUGAGCCGUGGUCUUCCAUUGAUUGGUGUUAACACCCCCCCCCAUUGUCUCAGGAGGUGCCUUGCAAAAUAUCUCACGAGACAGGCUGUUUUGGACUCUGCACCCUAUGCCAGCUUGCAGAUCCAGCUUGUGUAUUGUGCCCACAGGAACAGGUGGAUGUCUGG